GGCACGGUGGCGUAGUGGUUAGCACUGCUGCCUCACAGCAAGAAGGUCAUGGGUUUGAAUCCGGGCUGGUGCCU